CCGGAUUGUCGAUACCGUCGCGCCGUCGCGGUAACGGGAAGCCGGUGUGGAACCGGCGCGGCCCUCGCCACUGUGACCGGGGAGCACGCUCCGACUUGCAUGCCACUGGGUCCUUCCGGGCCUGGGAAGGCCGGAGUACGCGACGAUCCGGAAGCCAGGAGACCGACCCCGACGGUGUGAUCUCGU
rnacentral:ncRNA from 11 species